CAGCUUAUUUUGGGAACCACUCUAUCAUGAAGAUGCAUUUGUUCUUGGAGCAGCCUCAGAAAGCCUCCUCUUUAUCCAACUGUCUCUUGAUUAAAGAAGCAGCUGAUGUAUACUACAUAAAUAAUGUUUUUUCUCUGGAAAAGUUGUCUUAUUGUCAAGAUUUUUCUUAUUGCAAGGAAGAUAUUUUAUUGCUAAAUAUUUGUUAAUUGUCUGUUUUGAUAACACAGAAUGAAAGAUGGCUCCUGGAAAGCUGGGUACAGUCAUCUGAUAAAUUACAAAUAGUAAAUCUUUAUAAUAAAAUAUAUGGCAUUUUUAUUGUAUGAACAAUGUGCUUCCGAAGCAGGAGAUUCAGCAAGCAUUUCACAAAACUCACAGAAAAAUAUAAUCAUCAACAUCCUGCAAGGACAAGCAGUACUUCACUAAUUGAGAUGUAUCAGCAUGCAUGGCAUAUAUGGUCAUUCUGAAAGUCAUCAGAUGGAGAAGGUAGAAGUGAAACCCUCAGUGGUCUAUUCUUACAUAUUAAUCACUUCUCAAGGAAAAUCCACGAAGACAGUUUUCUUUUGUUAAAGUAUCAUCUUACUACUUCAGUGUUCUGUAAUGAGGACUGGAGCUGCUCUAAGUGGAUCAGUCCCCAUCUUCUUCCUGAGAUGUAGAUUCUUCGAAGUUUGCAUUGAAGACAGUCUUUUGUUCCUCUGAACUUGUGAAAAGUAGAUUAAUUUCUUGACUCCUCCAUAGGAGACAUCAUAAGUGUUAUUUAUUUAUUUUUUUUGAAUUGCCAAGGCUAAGAAUUCUCUUGAUAUUUAGCAUGGAUUUUUGGACUUCUCUUAACCAAAUAAAUAAAGUGCUGAAAGUUCAUACUAGAAAGAAGCAUCUGAUUUUGGGCAGAAGAGAAGCAAAUAAUCUCUUUUGUUUAGAACAGAAUGUGUGGUUACUCAAAAGUGGCUUGGUUAGGGUACAGUCGCAAAUGAGGUGGUCUAUUUCCUCUUUUCCAUCCAUUUAUUCAUUCAAGCUUCCCCCAGACCCACUUCAGUCUAUCAGUAAUGUUCACCUUUCCAAUUCCUGGGUUGUCAAUGUCCUUUAUAUGAGAAUAAAAUAGAAAUAGAUAAGUAUUUGAUAGAUAAAACCACGAGUCUAUUUUGUUCACUACUGAAUUCAUUAUUUUGUGAAAAUGUGGAACCUUACACUUAGUGAAUGUAUGAACAAAAUCCCAAUAAGGAGUUAUUAAAUUUUUGCUCUAAUUCCUGGAAUAAUGGGCAUUUAAAUGAAAAGAAAAUAAUGUAACUCUCCCUUUCUCAAAGGAAUCUCUUGAGGUGAUAUUUAAUGUGGGGAAGGCAGGAGUCAAGGAGUAAAGGAGGUGAAGGUAAUGUGGGAGGGAAGAGAGGCUUUCUCCUUUUGCCCUAAAUUACAAUUUCUGGGUCCCUGACAAUGCCUUACAUGCAGAGGGCCAAAUGAGACAUUCAUGGAUAAUUCCCUUAUGUUCAUAAAAUGGCUUAAAUCUUUAACUACUUUGACCCACCUUAAUACAGAACUGCUGAGAGACAACUGUUGUUAUUCUAGGUGAGGAAACAGAGGUGCCUUCAAAUCCUCCCAAGACAAAAUGGGGUGCCUUUAUGUAAUUCCCAGCCCUCCCAAGGAGCAUUCCCCAGGGGAAUUAUACAUGCCAGAAUUAAAAAGUAAGAUAUUUAUCUUUUAUUUUUAACAGAAUCUAGAUGAAUGAGGACACAUAAUAAGCAUAUUGUCAAAUAUAUCUGUGUAUUUUACAUGUAUAAUAUAUAUAUAAAUACAAGUACAUGGAAAUCAAUUGUGAUAAAAUUUCCAGUCUCUAUCAUGAAAUCAAAACAAAGGAGUGUCCUUAAAUAGCUCAGUGCUAGCUGCAGAAUAAAAUGUUGAGUGUAUUUCCAAUAAAUUCUUUAACAAAAACAAGACACAAAUACAUCAGGCAAUUGAUAAGGCAAACAAAAUCUCAUUACAGAAGAUGCUAAGUAAAUACAAUUAUUAUUUUUCCAACACCAUCCAUCAGACUAAGAAACUUUCAGCUCAUCUACAAAGCUUUUAAUUGUCAAAAAUAAAUAAACAUGAGACCAAAUUUCCAUUGAUUACACUAAAACCACCCAAUUGCCAUAAAAUAUAUAGUAACUCAUACUAUGAAAUUUUAACACAGAUAUUUAAUCUGUAUUUAUAAAAUAAAAGCUAGAGUUACAGUUCUGUACAUCAGAAACUUUACAUUGUAAAUAUUGGAGAUGAAUGCUCCACAGAGGAAGUUCAUUAUGAAACAUUUUGUAUAAUGGAAUGGGUAUGGCAAGAGUGGGUAUGGAAGUGGUUGUAAUCAAGGUUAUUAGCCAGAACUGGGGUCUCAUCCAAGACACAACUGGGAAGGAGCCACUUAUGUGACCACACAGCUGAUGGUAAAAAUCAUUUUCUCAUGGGCUGUUUACCCUUCCUUCCUGGCUCUUGGCCAGAAGCUAUCUUCAGUUCUUUGCCAGGGAGGGUCCCUCCAACAUGGCAGCAUGCAAACUAAGAAGGCAACAGAGAGAAUCUUCUAACAAAUUAGAAGUCAUGAGACUUUAUGAUCUAAUAAUGGAAACAAUAUUCCAUUCCCCUUUCCAUAUUAGGCUGGGCAUACAAAGAAGCAAAUCACAGGGCCGGUUGAUACUCAAGGGUAGGAGCCUACAGGUUGUGAAUAUCAGAUGCCUAAGAUCCUUGGGCACCAUCUUAGAGGUUUCCCACCACACUAACUGCACUUGAAAAUGAUGUCGAAAAUGUCAAAUAUAUUAAAAGAUAAAACUAUAGUUUCGGGCAAAAUAAUAAGAAAAAAUAAUGUUUAAGGGCCAUUUUAAAAACGUCACCUUAAAAUAUUUUUUAAAUCUCAAAAGAGAAAUAAAGAUGUAAAAUACUGUAUCAAAAGAAAUGCAAAUUAAAACAAUAUAUCAUUUUUGCAUGUCAAAUUGGAACAUAUUAAACAUUUAGUUGAUAAUAUCUAUUGUUGGCAAGGGCAAACAGGUACUUUAUAAUCUACUUAUGUGGUCAAACAUUUCUGAGGGAAAUCUGGAAAUAUCAAGAUUUCCAUAUCUUUUGACUUACCAAUAUUACUUUUAGAUAUUUAUUUUUCCAGAAAUAAUUAAACCAAAGUUCACAAAUUGAUGCACAAGAAUGUUCAUUUUAAGUGAUAUGUAUACUGUUAGAAAAAUUGGAAAUUAUUUAGUAGUAUGUCAGGAAAGAUUGGCCAAAUAAAAUAUGUUAUGACAACUAUAAAAUAAAAUGUCUCACAGCUAUUAAAAUUAUUAUUCAUAUUUAUUAUUAUGAAAAUAUAUCUAUAAUAUACUUUUAAAUGAAAAGAGCAAACUAUCUAUAUAGAAAUGCAUUAUCUGUAUAAAACUAGAUGUGUAUAUGCUGACGUGUUGACAUCCAUAGGUGCAGAGGAAAAUAUGUGAAAGGAUAUGUAUCAAAAUAUUGAGAGCGAUUAUCUUUGACUUGUAGGUAAUGAAUAACCUUUAUUUUCCUUAUACCAUCUGUAUUUUCCAAUUUUUCUUGAGCAUAUUCACAUUUCAUAAUAUUAAAAAGAAAUUACUAUUUCCAAAAUAAUAUCUAAAAUUAUUACCUACUAGACCCUUAUAUGGGAAUGUUUCAAGCUUUCAUUACUAUAUCUGUUAACUGGAACAAUAUAGCAUCAUAAGAUUUUUUCAAGUUAAAUAUAUUUUUGUCUUCUGUUCAUAAAUGGAUAUGUUCCAACUCUUCUUGGCAAACUACAUUUACUUAAAAAAAUCCUUCAGAAUUCCAUAUACACACAAAUAUUAUCAGUCAACAUGGAACUGGAAAUUAACUGUCAGAUUUCUUCUUAACCUGGCUGUUCUGGAAGAAUAAUCCCCUGAGGGACCAGUAUUGAAGAUUUUGAUAAGUCAAAUAAGAAAACAAAUUUCUGUCAGCCAUAUAUAAUUAUUCACUUAUUAUUUUUUAUUUAUACCCUCAUUCUGGAGCAUCCACUAGGUUCGAGGCAUUGGGGUAAGUGCUAGCAAUGCAACAGUAAAUCAGAAACAGUCCUUGCCUGCUCUUACAGCCUAAUAAAGACAAAUCAAAGAACUUCACUGCUGAAGAUGUCUCAGAGACUACAGUCUAGAAUUCCCCAACCCCCAAUUCAUGAAUCAGAGAAGCAGAUUUUUAUACAUUUUUCUUUACCUAUAUUAAUUGAUAGCAGACCCAAAUUCAUUUCUCUCAACUAUUCUGUUGCAGGCAGAAUUCUAUGAAAGCCCCCACAAUCUUUCCCACUGCUGUUACUCCCAUGAUUUCAUUAUAUAAUACUGCAAAAGGGAUAUUGCAGACAUAAUCAAGAUUACUAAUCCAUUAAGAUGGAAAAUUCUCUGGCUCACUUAACCUAAUUGUAUGAGCCCCGUAAAAGCAAAGAGUUUUUUGUGGACAGUAACAGACAAGAAAGAAAAUUCAAAAUGUGAAAGAAAUUUGAUGUAAGGGAGGCUCUCUCUUGCUGGGAUAGAGGGGGCUGUAACGGAAGGACCUGAGGACAUUCCCUAGAAGCUGAGAGCAGUCUCCUGAUGACAGCCAGCAAGAAGGUGGGGGCGACAAGCUGGCAACUUGAUUUCAGCCUUUAUCAGAAAACUCCGGUCAUCACAAACUUCUGGCCUACCAAACUGAGAGCUACCAAAUUUGGUAAUGCAGCAAUAGAAAAGUAAUGCACAUUGUUUUUUCUUUGUAUGUCAUUCCUGGGGACUAGUUAGCACGUUACAGUACACCUGGAGCUGAGAUUCAUGGAUUUCAGCUAUCUUCUUUAUGUCCCAAUGUGGAAAUCGAAGUCCAAAAUUUCUAGCCAUAUUGGCCUUUUUUUGUGUGUCUUUUUCAGUUAAUUGAUUUAUUUUUUAUUUUGAAACAAUCUCAAACUUCUAGAAAGCUUGGAAGUAGAGCACACAUAUAUUUUUUUUCAGGAACCAUUUGGGUGCACACAUUGGUGACAUGACAUAAUGUCACCUCCAAAUACUUCAAAGCAACGCAUUUUUUUUUUCUCAACAAGGGCAUUCCCCUACAUACUUACAGUACAACCAUCAAAAUCAGGAACUUAAGGUCACUUCAGCUCUUGGAACUCAGUCAACUUUCACGAAGUAUCCAGAUAAUUUCCUUUACAUCCAAAGCUCCAUUUUGGAGUCACGUGUUGUGUUUGGUUAGUCUCCUUCAACUCGGAACAGUUUAUUAUAGAAUCCCUUGACUUUUAGGACCUUGAAACUUGAAGAUUACAAGCCAAUUAUUCUGGAAAAUGUCCUUCAAUUUAGAUUGUUCUGAUUUUCCUUUAUGAUAGUCAUAUACUUUUGUAGGAAUGUUAGAGAAAUAAUCUGUGUUCUUCUCACUACUAUAAAAUGGCACACAAUUUCAUUUUGUACCAAUACUAACGAUGUUAACAUUGAUCACUUAAGGUGGUGUCUGCCAAGUUCUCGAUUGUAAAGUAUUAUUUUUUGCUGUGUAAUUAACAAAUAUUUGUGGGAAAGUAAUUUCAGACUAUAUGAAUAUCCUAUUUGUUAUCAAUUUUUUAAUUUAUUCAUGCCUAAUUGAUCAACACAUACUCAUGGUUUAUUAUUUUAUUCCAUGUUUUAUAAUCUGUUGUUAUCAUUUAUUUUGGUACUCAAAUGGUCAGAAAUUUGGUCAAAAGGAACCUCUUGGAGUUGCUUCAGUGUUAUUUGACAAGUUCCAAGUCCCAAGUCCAUUUCUUCUUUCAACACUUUCUUACUUUCUGAUACAUCAAGAUGUCCUGGAAGAAUGUGGCCUUUUAUCUGAGAAAUACUGUCCCUUUUUAAUAAAAAGUGAUGUUUUGAAACUAAGAUCUGGACACUGAGUUUACUCAUUGCUUUUAGGAUGUUGUUAUCCCUAGGAACACUGGCUUUACCAUCUCCAAAACACUGUGCUCUCGGCUUCCCCAUGACUUUUGUAGAUGCUGUUCCCUCUACCUGAUUGUCCUUUCUUCUUCAGAUAGUGAACUCUUCCUACUCAUUCUUUAGAUCAAGGCUUAAAUCCUGCUUCUUCAAGGAAACUUUCCCUGGAUGCCUAGAUUGGUUGAGCCCUACACUCAUAGCAUCAUGUUCUUUUCAAUCUAGAAUAUAGCAAUUAUUUAGAAACAUAUACCUCCUCCUCAUUAGACUAAUAAACUUUGGAAGACAAAAUCUGGUUUUGAUCAACAUUGUAUCACUGAUGCCUAGCACAAGUCCUAAGACAUAGUAGUUCUCAACAAAUAUUUAUGGAAAUAAUAAAUGGGAGAGACAGUGAAUGAGUGAAUGAAUGAAAUCAGAAGUAAACCCCAGUGCUUUCCUAGCUAUUCCACAGUGGACACUUAGAACAAGGACAGAGCUCACUGAAAUAUAUUCUCUAAAUUCUUAGACAUAUGGUAAAAUUUUAUUCUUUCUAACAGAACCCUGAAUUUUUGCACACUGGAUCAGAUAAUUUUCCACAUUAUUUUUGAAUUUAAUUCUUCUUGAAAUUGAUUCAGACAAAAGUGGAAAACCAGGUACUCUCUGAGAAGGUCAUAGUGUUUGCCACUAUUGAGUUAAUUACUUGGGCUUAUACUGCAUCAGAUUUAUUAUAUUCUGAGCAACUUAGCUAAGUUACAAGAAAAUAAAAAGCUACAAAAGAAUAUUUAAUUUGAUUGCAUAAUACUAAAUCUUCACCACCUCCUGGGUCCCUAAUUAAAUCUUAUUUUUACACGGUGCCUUGUUUUUGAAUAUGGGCAGUUCUGAAAGUCUCAAAAGGGAAUUUAUGAUACAGGAAAUCCAGAAACUCACUUUGAGACAAUGUGGACUUCUAAUAAUUCUACCACUGUCUCUGCCGGAAGGCCAAACAUACAAUUGUCUUCUUAGCUUGAUGCUUUUAUUGUUUUUCUCUUGGUUUUGAAUCAGACCUAGACUCAACAAAGACCCACCUAUGGUUUCUGCCUGUCCCCCGCUGUAAUUCCAAUAACUGUGCUUGGGCAUUAUGUCAGACCUUUUGGCAUCAUUUGAAGCAUUUGAUUAUUGAAUUCUGUUGACUUGCUAGAAAGAAAGUGGGGUCAGAAGGGCAGGCCUAAAAUAGUUAUACUUCUUUCAGUCCUGAGAGAUAUAUUAGGAGAGUUUUCAGAAGGUAUUUUUCUCAUUUUACAGUUUCUGAGAUGGACUUCUCAGACACUUGGUAUUUUCUCUUCCUUUCAUUGUAUGCACUGUUUAUUAUAAAAACAGAGAAUCUUGAAGCAACUUACACAUUGAAAAAUUGUUAUUCAAGAUUUCUCCUUUUGCCUGACUUGCACUGUGCUGUUCUUUAUUUUAAGGUAUCUGGCAAAAGUGAACCUAUUUUUUUCAACCUGGUUGAAACCUGGUUUGAAAAAACUGCUGGUAAUUCCAAAAAAAAACAUGAGAAAUGAAGAACAGCCCAUGUGAGUCAGGAAUCUCUCUUUUGUUCUUGUGAGGCUACAGUGAAACAAAGAUUCUUAGCCAUACUGAGGCUCUUGUAACUUGUUCAAUACUUCACACCAGAGUCUAUAGUAAUUAUAAAUUCAAGAAAAAUUUCUCUAUUCUUCAGCUUCUUUUCAGUGGCAUAUUUUCCUCAUUCACUAAGCUAUGUUUCAGGUGGUUUAGCAUUUGAUUGUGACUCAUUUAAUGUGAUUUUUUAAAAUAACAUUUGUUAUUGCAUCACAUUGUAAAAAUAAUUGAAAUGGAUGCAAUUCAAGGAUGUGAUUUAAUUAACUAGGACUUUUCCCCUACACUGAGAAAAUGAUAAUGGGGGCUUUACUAGGCAAACUAAAAUACCUCAACCAAGACAACUCACUAUUCAAAGAAUCAGAGCAAGCUUACAAAAGUCUCCUGUAAUGAGAAGACUGUCUGAAAAUACAGUUUUCAGCUUUGGAGUGAGUAUAUGCUGAGCUGCUAGACUCUACCAUUUUCUACGCAGAAAUGCAUCUUAAUUGUUGUAUCACUUCUGAAUUUUGGAAGGAAAAUUGGCAAUGUGUGUGCCAUUUCUAGCAAAGGGAAAAAAAGUUAAUUGGGUUUCUGUAUACCAUGCCUUCAGUAAUGGUCCGGAAGAUGGAACUGCAAAAGGCUCUUUUUUUGCUCCAGGACUAUAUUUCAUUUGUCAAAAUGAAGAGAGGAUAUCAGAUCAUUCCUAAUACUGAGUAAUAUUCUCCCAGUUGAGCAGAGCACCACUCUGUACCAGGCAUUAGCAAAGCAGGGCAUGCUGACUAGAAGAGACUUGCUGGUGAUAUUUUAGCCUAGUCAAGUGAUGGCCUCUGACCACAAAGAACAUUGGCUGGGGCUCUGUCAAAUUAUCCAAGGGAUUUUCAGCUGAGUCGUCUCUCUGUUCUCCCACUUGGAGUCAUUUGAUACCCGUUUCAGAGCCAUCUAUUGUAAAGAGAACUUCAAAAUGUCAAGGAGAAUUCACUACCUACAGAAUGAAGGAAAGACCAUGUGAGGACACAGUGAGGAGGCAGCCAUCUGCACGCCAGGAAGAAAGGCUUCCUUGCUUGAUCUUGGACUUCUGGCCUCCAGAAAUGAACUCACCUGGAGUGUCCAUGAAGGUCAUACUAUUGACAUACUUCUGAAAAAUAGAAUAUAGAGGAAGCAAUGGUAUGUCAUUUGAGAUUAGAUUACAAAGAGACCCUGGCUUCUACCUGAAGAUGCUCCCUAAAUCACUCUUUAAGGGAAACCUCUUCCACGUUGUACAGUUCCCCUGUGGAGAGAACCAUGUGGACAAGAAACUGAUGUCUUUGGCUAACAGCCAGUAAGGACCUGAGACCUGCCAAGAAUUACAUAAAUGUGUUUUUGGACAGGUAUAUUCAUCUAGCCCAGCCUCGUAUGAUUGGAGAUCCAGCCAACAACUUCAUGGCACCCUUGCAAAGCAUAUUGAUCCUGAGAAAUCCACUUAAACUUUGCCCAGAUUCCUGAUCCACAACUUUGGGAUAAUGAAUGUCUGAUGUUUUUAGCCACUAAGUUUUGGUAAUUUUUGUGUGCACUAAAAGGUAACAAAUACAUUUGUUAUAAUGGCAUCUCUCCUUACAAUUUUUUCAGUGUAUCCUUAAGUUUGCCUCCCUUCCAGUAUUUGCUUUUACCCUGAGUUUUAGUCUAUUAAUCUCUUAGAUUGGCUUAUAGUAAUUAUCUACAUAAUUACCUAUUAUAAUUAUUAUUGAUAUAAUGUAUACUAUAAUCUAUAUAUUAUAAUAUAGAUUAACUGUAUUAUAAUACAUAGUAGAAAAAAGUUAGCUUGUUAUUAUAGAAUAUUUUAAGGAUAUACAAAGGUAAAGUAAACAAAUAUAAUAGAUUCCCAUGUCCCUAUCACCCACUUUCAACACUUAUGGUCAAUAUUGAUACAACACAACAUUGUUGACACAACAACCCAUAGUCAAUACCAUUUCGUCUCUACCUUUACUCACUCAUCUCUCUCAGAUUAUUUUCAAGCAAGUCCCAGACAAAUAAUUUAUUCUAUAAAAUUUUUAGUAUGUAUCCCUCUUUAGUAAAACAUUUUAAGGUUAUGAGUUAACCGUAGAAAUUAUAUCAAGGGGUAGUCGGGCAACAGAGAUAAGACCUUCAGAGCAAAGCCAGGUAUAGUUAUUCAAGUUAAUAUUCUUCUACUCGGGAUAUGAAUAAAGUAUUGGAAAAUGCUAAGACUGAAUGAGACUGGAGUAAGAAAGCUCUUUGUCAUGGACAGGAAUUUUGGGUUAGAGAUCAGCAAGCUAGAGAGGGAAAACAGUUGAAGAAAGAAAGGGGAAUCCAGGAGCAUGACAAUAGGAUAAAGCCAAAGUCAGAUGUAUAACUGAUGAUGGUUAACUGCAGUGAGAAUGAUCAAGUGACGUUUAAGACCAAGGCUGUCUAACACUGAAGGUUAGAUGACAUCAAAUAUGUUACAUAUUUUAUAUAUUUCUCAUUUAGUCCCCCAAGUCCUUCAGGAAAAUCUGCUAUGUACAUAUCCUAUACUCAGAGGACUUUAGUAGUAAACAGUUUGGACAGUGUAAAGCAGAGUAAAAUAUGGCCUUACAGAUAGGAAGUGAAAGGCUGAGAAGAACUUGAUAAUUCAAUGGAGCAAGAACUAGAAGUCAGAGUGAUCAGAAAAAAUGCAAGUGACAUCCCCCCAUUGAUCAAACCCAAUAGGAAUCAAUGUAGCUAUGGAAAAAUAUGCUAGGUUUCCAAUAAUAUGUGAGAAGAGAAUUCAACAGACUUUUUUGUUUAAACACUGAAGGAAAAGUGAGUCUAGGAAUCUAGAGAAUAUGUCAUUACACCGAGAGGCUGCCAUUUUUGUUGCACACACAGGCACACAGACUCACCUGCAAAUGUACCUCCUGUUGAUGAAAUCAAGAACAACCCUAGUACUGAGGCCUAUUGUAAUAUCUAUAAGUUAUGAUGCAUUUUGUAAAAGAAAAAAAGUUUUACCACCUGGUUCUACUGUCAGUGAACUACCAGAAAUGAUCAUGUACAAAUAUAAAUGGCCCAGCUGAGUACAUCUGCAGAAUACAGAAACGGUUUUUCCUGCAAAUUGCUCAAACUGGGCUAUUAAGGAUACAAAAAUAGAACAAGGAUAUUAUACUCAACUGAUAUGAAAAAAGCUUUUAAGUUGAGUCAGUGGAUUACAGUUUUUGGGUAAAUAAGAAUUCUGUUGAAGAAAUUUUUUUAUUAUCAGUUGUAAAAAUCUUGUGGCAAAUAAAAUCUAAUUUACUAUGUCUCAAAACAUUUUUUUAAAAUAGAAAUUUUGGUUUAUUUGUUUCAUAUAAUCAAGGCUGCAUAAGACAGAGAGAAUUGUAUAUAUGGAUUCCCUAUCCUGGUCUUAAAAAUGUAGUUUUUUAAGUAACAGUACCUAUAAUUCACAACUCUACCUACCUAUAAAACUGGGAGUUUUCAUCUCAAUCACCUAACUCACUGGACUGGAGGAAGACUUUAUUUUUCUUGGAUUUUAUUGUCAAACACAGAGGAAUAAUAUUACAGAGCAAUUUCCUCUCUAUUGCCUAGAGCAAUGACAAAACCAAAAAUGUGUACAAGAGUAAAAUGUGGUGUCAGUCAAAAAACAAUCAAUUUUACCAUAU